rnacentral:lncRNA from 1 species
AUCCCAGUGGCCAAAAUAGGACAAACCUCUUACUUAAGCUUAUGUUUCUUCUCGAGCUUGUGUGUAUAGCUUAUUCUCAAACAGAAAUUUAAAACCCACAAUGUUAAAAUAAAAUACAAGAUAAGGAUAAAAAAAAUUAAAGCAAAAACCAAAAUAAAUAAAAUAAAAAAUAAAAUAAAAAAUAAAAUAAAAAAUAAAAUAAAAAAUAAAAUAAAAUAAGCAAACAAAAACAUACAACCCUAGAACUAAAGGAUAACCUUGACUCACUUUA